AGUAACCAGAGGUGGGGCAACGGUACCGGGCGGCAGGCAGGCAGGGGUCAGUAACCAGAGGUGGGGCAACGUUACCGGGCGGCAGGCAGGGUCAAGGCAGGCAGGGGUCAGUAACCAGAGGUGGGGCAACGGUACCGGGCGGCAGGCAGGGUCAAGGCAGGCAGGGGUCAGUAACCAGAGGUGGGGCAACGGUACCGGGCGGCAGGCAGGGUCAAGGCAGGCAGGGGUCAGUAACCAGAGGUGGGGCAACGGUACCGGGCGGCAGGCAGGGUCAAGGCAGGCAGGGGUCAGUAACCAGAGGUGGGGCAACGGUACCGGGCGGCAGGCAGGGUCAGGGCAGGCAGGGGUCAGUAACCAGAGGUGGGGCAGUAACGAGGUGGGGCACCGGGCGGCAGGCAGGGUCAGGGGGCAGGAGUCAGUAACCAGAGGUGGGGCAACGGUACCGGGCGGCACCUGGCAGGCAGGUCAGGCAGGGUCAAGGCAGGCAGGGGUCAGUAACCAGAGGU
ensembl:lncRNA